CCAUCAUUUAAAGAAAGCGUAAUAGCUCACUGGUCGAGUCGGCCUGCGCGGAAGAUGUAACGGGGCUAAACCAUGCACCGAAGCUGCGGCAGCGACACUCAGGUGUUGUUGGGUAGGGGAGCGUUCUGUAAGCCUGUGAAGGUGGCCUGUGAGGGUUGCUGGAGGUAUCAGAAGUGCGAAUGCUGACAUAAGUAACGAUAAAGCGGGUGAAAAGCCCGCUCGCCGGAAGACC
rnacentral:rRNA from 1 species